rnacentral:rRNA from 1 species
GAGCGGCGGACGGGUGAGUAAUGUCUGGGAAACUGCCUGAUGGAGGGGGAUAACUACUGGAAACGGUAGCUAAUACCGCAUAAUGUCGCAAGACCAAAGUGGGGGACCUUCGGGCCUCAUGCCAUCAGAUGUGCCCAGAUGGGAUUAGCUAGUAGGUGGGGUAACGGCUCACCUAGGCGACGAUCCCUAGCUGGUCUGAGAGGAUGACCAGCCACACUGGAACUGAGACACGGUCCAGACUCCUACGGGAGGCAGCAGUGGGGAAUAUUGCACAAUGGGCGCAAGCCUGAUGCAGCCAUGCCGCGUGUGUGAAGAAGGCCUUCGGGUUGUAAAGCACUUUCAGCGGGGAGGAAGGCGGUGAGGUUAAUAACCUCAUCGAUUGACGUUACCCGCAGAAGAAGCACCGGCUAACUCCGUGCCAGCAGCCGCGGUAAUACGGAGGGUGCAAGCGUUAAUCGGAAUUACUGGGCGUAAAGCGCACGCAGGCGGUCUGUCAAGUCGGAUGUGAAAUCCCCGGGCUCAACCUGGGAACUG